AUUGAACGCUGGCGGCAUGCCUUACACAUGCAAGUCGAACGGCAGCGCGGGUGCUUGCACCUGGCGGCGAGUGGCGAACGGGUGAGUAAUAUAUCGGAACGUGCCCUAGAGUGGGGGAUAACGUAGCGAAAGUUACGCUAAUACCGCAUACGAUCUACGGAUGAAAGUGGGGGAUCGCAAGACCUCAUGCUCCUGGAGCGGCCGAUAUCUGAUUAGCUAGUUGGUGGGGUAAAGGCCCACCAAGGCGACGAUCAGUAGCUGGUCUGAGAGGACGACCAGCCACACUGGGACUGAGACACGGCCCAGACUCCUACGGGAGGCAGCAGUGGGGAAUUUUGGACAAUGGGGGCAACCCUGAUCCAGCAAUGCCGCGUGAGUGAAGAAGGCCUUCGGGUUGUAAAGCUCUUUUGUCAGGGAAGAAACGGUCUGGGUUAAUACCCUGGGCUAAUGACGGUACCUGAAGAAUAAGCACCGGCUAACUACGUGCCAGCCGCCGCCGUAACAC
rnacentral:rRNA from 1 species